rnacentral:misc_RNA from 1 species
GAUGAAGAACGCAGCAAAAUGCGAUAAGUAAUGUGAAUUGCAGAAUUCAGUGAAUCAUCGAAUCUUUGAACGCACAUUGCGCCCGCUGGUAUUCCGGCGGGCAUGCCUGUUCGAGCGUCAUUUCAACCCUCAAGCCCCCGGGUUUGGUGUUGGGGAUCGGCUCUGCCCUUCUGGGCGGUGCCGCCCCCGAAAUACAUUGGCGGUCUCGCUGCAGCCUCCAUUGCGUAGUAGCUAACACCUCGCAACUGGAACGCGGCGCGGCCAUGCCGUAAAACCCCAACUUCUGAAUGUUGACCUGGGAUCAGGUAGGAAUACCCGCUGAACUUAAGCAUAUCAAUAAGCGGAGGA